rnacentral:lncRNA from 1 species
UCCCCUCAAUGGUCCAUGCUUAAAAUCCAUGUCUCUUCAAUUUGGAGAUCAGGAUGUUAUGUGGGACCAUGUCAAAGGCCUUACAGAAGCACAGGUGGAUGGCAUCGGUCAGUCUUCCUUUGUUGACUGAUAUAGACAACAUCAAAUGCUUGGAGUGGGAUUGCCUGUAUCCUGGACUUCAUCUGGAUUCGAGGCUGUGUUUAAGUAUGACAGGGUAGAGAGCUGCUGAUUUCUCAGCGGCUUCUUUCCUGUCACUUUUUUUUUCUCCCUCUUCUUUUUGGCCAUGUAAUUGCAGAACAGAAAAUACAGUUGCUUUUCUCCUUGAAACAAAACCCAUAGGUUCCUUAGUUUUGCUUCUUUCCUUACCAUGCGGCCAGAGAGGUGGGAGCACACAAAUGAGAAACCUCAUCUGUAGAAAACACAGAAGGAGUGUUUUCUAGGAGCUCCAUUCAAGAUCCAUGUGUUAGCAGAAGAUGGGACAUAUGGCACAUGGGAAACGGGCAAAGGUAUAAUGACAUGGCCAAAUAGGAGGAAAGCUGCAUAACAUAACAUCACUCAGAAAUAAGUGAAGUGUCUUAAGCUAUAGACAAAGCUAGCUGGAGGAAAAAAUUGAGACAAUGAGGUGGUCUGAACCAGCAGAGAACUACACCAUGGAAAUAAUGAGCUUAUCAUUAGGGUCUCUAACAUUCUCUAGCUGUGGAAUAUUCCUUCCCCAGCAAAUUAUUUUCUGCCACAGAAGUUUUAAUUUCUCCGUUCCCUGGGAAUUCAAGUGUCCCUUUCUGUUUUCUAUCUUGUAGAGUUUCUAGCACUUGCUAAGCUUAAUUUCUCCCACCUGAGGGAACACAACCUUCAGGGACUUUCAGCUGCAGCAUCAUUUGGUGGGGGAGAGACUAAGAGGGGGGUUUUGUGUAGGAGGGGUACAGAGAACCCAGACAUCUGGGCUGAGGGCAAAGGCUUUUCAGUCCUCUUAGUAAUGAAGAGUGGUGUUGACUUGUCUAGUUGGUCUCAUACUGAGCACCCUCAGUCAGAACCACAGCUUUACCAAACAAGUCAAGUGGACUGGGGAUGCCAAGUGAAACAACCCCAGGGGAGAAACCCAGAGAUUCAGCGAAGGGAAUGGUAAGAGUAUCUCGAAUUUGUGUGUGUCCUCAGCAACCUGUUCAUUAGAUUGGAUACAGUACUGCAGCACUACCAGAUGUCAAAAGGAGAAGAAAUAAUGUGCGAUUGUGAAGUAGCUGGAAGUUAGAUGCAAAUUCUGAGUGCAACAGGUGGAUGAGGAAACUGUUGAAAUGUAUACAUAUAUCUGUAAUGUGUAUGUAGUCACUUUUGAGUUCUUCAGAAAAUCGUAACAACAACUACAAAAAAGCCCUUCAGAAGGGCCCAGACAGACUUCUACAGUUAACAAAAUGGAUGAGGGAUCUUGUACAGCCAACACAAUGUCAAUAUGAAUGAUGUAAAACGAUGCAAAAAAAUACUGUACUGUGCAUGGUAAAUCAUAUAAUAAGGGAAGCAGUAAAGAGUAAUAUGUCCUAAAGCAUGGCUUCAGUAAAUGAAAACUGAAAUAGGAAAUGCUCCAGAGAGUUAGUAAAAAAAGCAAUGGAAAGCAAAGAUAUGUAAUAAAAGAAAGCUAAAACUGAAUUAC